ACCCGCUGAACUUAAGCAUAUCAAUAAGCGGAGGAAAAGAAACCAACAGGGAUUGCCCUAGUAACGGCGAGUGAAGCGGCAACAGCUCAAAUUUGAAAUCUGGCGUCUUUGGCGUCCGAGUUGUAAUUUGCAGAGGGCGCUUUGGCAUUGGCAGCGGUCCAAGUUCCUUGGAACAGGACGUCACAGAGGGUGAGAAUCCCGUACGUGGUCGCUAGCCUUUACCGUGUAAAGCCCCUUCGACGAGUCGAGUUGUUUGGGAAUGCAGCUCUAAAUGGGAGGUAAAUUUCUUCUAAAGCUAAAUACUGGCCAGAGACCGAUAGCGCACGAGUAGAGUGAUCGAAAGAUGAAAAGCACUUUGGAAAGAGAGUUAAAAAGCACGUGAAAUUGUUGAAAGGGAAGCGCUUGCAGCCAGACUUGCCUGUAGUUGCUCAUCCGGGUUUUUACCCGGUGCACUCUUCUAUAGGCAGGCCAGCAUCAGUUUGGGCGGUUGGAUAAAGGUCUCUGUCAUGUACCUCUCUUCGGGGAGAACUUAUAGGGGAGACGACAUGCAACCAGCCCGGACUGAGGUCCGCGCAUCUGCUAGGAUGCUGGCGUAAUGGCUGU
rnacentral:rRNA from 1 species